AAGCAGUUCUCCUGGAUUCUUAACAGUGAAGCAACCCCUCUGAAGGAAACUAACUCAGAAGAAGGAGGCUCACCCCAGAAUAUGGGCCCAGGAGUCCUGUACUACACACGUCUCCCCAUGCAUGCCGAGGAGACCUUGAAUACUGAUUUAAACAAAAUCUUCAGGGGAUCCCUGGGUGGCUCAGCGGUUUAGCACCUGCCUUUGGCCCAGGGUGUGACCCUGGAGUCCCAGGAUCCAGUCCCACGUCAGGCUCCCGGCCUGGAGCCUGCUUCUCUCUCUCUCUAUCAUAAAUAAAUAAAUCUUUAAAAAUAUAAAUAAACAAAAUCUUCAUAUACCCAGUCUGGAAGGAGGAGGAAGAUAAGACCCGUUUGAGACACAUGGAGUCUGGGAGAAGAAAUUAAAUCUUCAUCUGUUACAGUUGAGAGUCAAUAGAUUAUACCUGAAACUGGAAAACCAGGAGGGCCGGAUACAAGCAGGUUAAUCCUGAGAAGUGACCUAAGGGAUCCCGCUCAAACAGGUGCAACUAUUUGCCUCUGGAGGAGAAGGGAGAGCUUGCGAUUGCGGCUUUUCAUAAGGAACUCCAGAGAACUGUUGGGUUCUUUUGAAACAAUGGGCGUUAUAUUCAAGCACAUUUUUUAAAAUGUUUUUCUGUCUCUUGUAGACUACAUCACUGUGCUCACCGGCACUCCAUUUUCACAGGAACUAUUUUAUCUAGAUGUGCCAGAAGGUUAAUUUUGUCUCUGCCUUGAAGGGCAGUAUCACUAAGUAUUUAGAAAUCCUGCUUUUAAUCUUCACGGGGGCCAUCACCGUGCACCCAGCACUGGCACCCAGCACUCGGCACCCAGCACCCGCACGUUAUCUCCAGUUUGCACAGCAGCCAGGGCGGGUAGGCACUGUUUCCGUUUCACAGGUGGGACUCCGAUGCCGAUGCUCAGCUCGGUGAGCUACUUUGCUCGCCUGUAGCAGGGAGGCCUGACCCCAGAGCCUCUCUUUCUCCUGGCAGACCUCGGCUUUCUAGGGUCUGGGUUCGAGAGAACUGCACGGGGGAAGAAAUGGCCUGGGGAGGUGGGGGGGCUCCGGUUCGGCGACCCGAGCCAGCCCCGCUCCCACCUGGACCUCGCAGCCGCUCCCGUGCGCCAGGAAGCCCGCGGGGACGGGAGGGGAGC